GUAACCGCAGCCGUGCGAAGGCGGAGAUGUGGAGGAGAAUGCUUCGGGGUGCCGUCGGAUCUGCGGGGCCGUUCUGUUAUGAGGGACGCGCUUACCGAGGAGGCCGGGGGAGGCGGAUGAAAGCCGGCUGCUCGGCGCCUGCGCUCACCGGCGGGAUCGUCGCACCUGCUGCCCGCGGAGCGCAGCCCGCGCGAGGCGGUGCCUCCUGGUGCCAGCCGAGGGCAGAGCUCCCCUCCCCCGUUUGUUGACGUGUGCGCGAAGGAAGGUUCUGAGGGGCCCUGGGUAAAGGGAAGAGAAGCGGUGUCGUUCUGGUCCGGAUUCAUUUCGCGUCUUUGUGUCUACGUGAGCCUGAGCGCCAUGUGGAAAAAGGGCGGGGUGUUUGUUGGCGCUCCCAUGUUUACACAGCGCGGAAGGGCACCGUUGUUCGCAUGGCCGGUGUGCGCGGCCGGGCGUGCAGCCGCCUGGUGCGCGGGGACCUGGAUCCGAGCGGCAGCGAUGGACGGAGUCAAAUCCCCACUUCGGGACUGUUAACUUAAAAGGCACUUUGCUUUCUCGGCAACGUCUCUGUUUGUUUGUUUUGUUUUUUAAGUCUUUCAUUGGGUAACUGGACAAACAGAUUUUUGUCAGAUCUUGGGUAAAAUGAAACCAGGAGCUAAGUAAUGUGCUGUGCCACGUUUGGGAAGGCUUUUGAGGGGAGGAAGUGGUCCAGCAGAAUGCAGUUUUGCUCGCUGGUGAAAGUUUGGAGUUGGCGUAAUUAAUUUUUCUUGAAUCUAUAAGUUUUCAUUGAUUAAAAUGAGUGUUCCACAUGAACACUAAAAAAAACCAAAAAGCAACAAACAAAAUUGUCAGUAAUGUAAUGCUUCAGUGCUUGUAGCACAUGUGGAGCCUGGAUCUUGAAAGUCAAGCCAAGGGUGGGCAAAAAAGGUGGAACUGAUUUUCGGUUGCAAAAGAGAAACUCUGAAGAUGUAAAAAUACUAAAAAAGAAAAAUCACUUCAGAGCGAUUUCGGAGCAAUGUCAGUGAUGAAAAAGGUACCAGAGGAAAGGUAUUUGUUUAUGCUACAAAUGUAUGAUAGUGGUCACAGGCAGAAAAAGGGGUUUGAAGGCUUUCUUACAUGAUGCCUGUAUUUCUGUAUGUUGCCCACUUCUAUAAGAGUAUUCCUAAUCAAUUUAACAGUAAAACAGGUGUGCCCUGUCAUUUGGGAUGUGUGGGCUCUCCCUCACCCCCAGGAGUGCUGCCUGCAUGGCAGGUGAAGGGACGUGUGGGCUGUGGGUGGUGGGCAUGGAGCUGAAGCUGAGGGAAACGUGCUUGCUUUUCCCAGUUGGGGAUUAAAUGAUUUCUUUCUUUCUCCUUGGUGCACAAAUGCAAUAUUAUGACAUGCUGUUAAUUUGAGCCUGAUAGAAGUAAAUAUUAUGCUUAGAGAGA